rnacentral:rRNA from 1 species
UACGUAGGUGGCAAGCGUUGUCCGGAUUUACUGGGCGUAAAGAGCGCGCAGGCGGUCGUUCAAGUCGCGUGUGAAAGCCCCCGGCUCAACUGGGGAGGGUCACGCGAUACUGAUCGACUCGAAGGCAGGAGAGGGUAGUGGAAUUCCCGGUGUAGUGGUGAAAUGCGUAGAUAUCGGGAGGAACACCAGUGGCGAAGGCGGCCUUCUGGACAGUGACUGACGCUGAGACGCGAAAGCGUGGGGAGCAAACCGG